GCUGCCCUCCGGUCAGCCGUCGAUCCUCGGCUUCUUUGCCAAGUCAUAUCUGCAGCAGUGCUACAUCGUGCUGUCUGCUGUGGAAGAAGUUGAACAUACAUACUGUACAUACGUGACGGACAUCACCUACAAGUUCAGCUCAUGGCGGAUUUAGACAACAUGUAAAAUGAGAUCAUUGGCUACAACAAAGUUAAGUAAAAAAAAAAUAAUGGACAAUUGUUUUUACAUUUAUCCUGCAGCAGCCAUGAUCAUUCUACUGCUGGAUGAAAACCUCCUCGACUCGUUACAAUGUUUCGGAAUUUCCUUCCUUUCUAUAGGAAAGACAAUUUAUCACAGAGGUAUCGUGUCACGCCAAAGUACCGAUAUUAUCGAAUCAUAACCUUAACCACCCUUGCAAAAUGUUAAUUAUGAAUGUAUUAAAAGUUAAGACUGAGGAAUGCAGAUAAAUUACAACUUCAAACGGUGCGGUGACACAACGUUCCCUGUGGAAAUUUAAACCUUAAACACGUGCAUGGAAACAUGAAAAUACUCCUUUGAUUGACCAAUAUCCAUUUACACGACUCAAUGCCCGGCAUACAGACUUCAUCCCUGCAGCGAGAGACAGCUCACGGGAAGGACUCUAUUGACACCGUCAUUUGCAUUUCUUGUUGAUGAAAAUUGUUUUGUUUUCCCAUCGGUCAGAUGCACACACAAUUUGGACCAUUGUUCGUAUUCGAGCUUCUCAUUCCAUUGGAAUGACAUGCAGAUAGAUAGAUAAGUGGGUAAUUUAUUUAUUUUUCACCACUUAACAAGAGCUUAAAUUGUCUUCGUAUAUAUAUUUUUUACAGACAGUCUUAAUUUGCGCGCGUUUUGGCUUGGUUCAUACUUACGUGUUGCUCAAAAGCUGACACGCACAAACAUUACGGCGUUGCAUCCUUUCGUUUGAGCAGAGCCGACGUUAGGGGAUGGCAUGAAUCAUAUAAAAAAGGGCUUUGCUCUCAAUGUCCCUUGCAUGACUGAGCCUUUAGUUAACUCUGAGCUGGGAGAAUUUCUUACCAAAUCCUAAGACUCUGCCCCGGUGUCAAGUAAGGUCUCCUGCAUUGCACAAUUCAAAAGGUUCUGUGAGGUGGCAGCGUUUUGCUCGCUUGCCCCAUUAUGCACGGGAGGAUGUGAGAUACACAAAGCCGCUCCUUUUUUUUCUUCUUCUUCUUCUUCUCUCGAGAAACGUAACAGACGACUCUCGUCUGUUACGUUUCUCGUCUGUUAUACACAUGAAAUGCGGGUUGCGUCGUGCACCAAAAUCAAAUCACCGCAGCCACAAUUUUCCUUGUGCGCAUUACUUUUGACAUGGAAUUUCUCGGCGCUUAAACGACUCCGUGGUUCAUCUGUAAUAAUAUAUACUGCGAGGUAGAAAGUGUGAAUUCCAUCAAUUUGGAAAAUAAGGACGGCACAAUGAAUGUGAUGCUGUGACUGUGAUUCUGGAGGUGUUAGCUACGGGAGAGAAAGAAUGUACGGUUUGCUGCGAGUCGAGUUUUUUUUUCCUCAUGGCCUUGUAAUUUUUCAAGCAAAUUGGUCCGAUUGAUGUCAUAAGCCUCAUUAUAUUUCUGUGUUUAAAUUGCAAUUAUAAUUCCCGCGUUACAUGUGUUUCGUGGCAUGUAUACAGUUACUUAUUUCAAUGUUCAGCGCUCUAAGAAAUUGUUGAAUCUUGUUGAUGUUAUAACAGUAUUAAAAUUAGAAAAAUGUA